rnacentral:lncRNA from 1 species
GGGGAGGACAUUCAGGGCCUGUGGGCGACUGUGCCGAUGUAAAUUGGGAUUGCCACAGUCCCCCCUUUAUCUCUGAACCUGGCUGGGUGUUUCUGUUCCCUCCCUUCCAGCAAUGCUAACACGCAUCAUCUGCCACGAGCUCAGGGGUAAAUGCCAAAAUUCAGGGUGUUUUUCUGAUGUUCAUUUUCUGCUGGAUCGUUGAGCUAAACCAGGUGACAGACAAACAAAAUCUAGCCCUAGGAUAAGGAUAGGGAUCAAAGAAGGACCAUACAAACCAAAAUUUUCAUGAACACUUUUGGCAGCAAAGGCUUGUAGGGAUCAAAUGGCAGAUCGAGGGUGAUGGGACCCAGAUAUUCAGGCAGACAAGGCAGGGUUGUUAUUAAAAGGCACAGCCAGAUGGGGAAGGGGUGAUUCGCAUGGGCUACCAUUUAAACACCUGUGUGGUGCAGCAUCCUGGGGACACGGGCAUGAGAAGGGAGGGAUGGAGAGGAGGUGGCUGGAAGAUGGAUGGUUUUUGUCUUGCAGGGGCAGCCUGGGGAGAAGGGGGAACCUGGAGAAAAGGGCACCAAAGGAGACAGGGGUGAAAAUGGUCAAAAGGGAGAACCAGGAAUUGGGUUUAGAGGUCCCGUUGGUCAGGCUGGGACACCUGGAUUUAAGGGUGAGCCAGGGUCCCCAGGACCUCCAGGAGCUCAGGGCAUCCAGGGCAUUCGUGGCAAUGCUGGCACCCCCGGGUCACAGGGGGACAGAGGGGCUCCAGGUCUGCCCGGGAUGCCAGGACAGAAGGGGGAGCGUGGGAAGAGAGGCCGGAAUGGAUUUGCUGGGCCCACAGGACCAUCAGGAUCCCCAGGAAAAGAGGGGAUUCCCGGGAUACCUGGACCCAAAGGCAACAAGGU